rnacentral:rRNA from 1 species
UGACCUCAAAUCAGGUAGGACUACCCGCUGAACUUAAGCAUAUCAAUAAGCGGAGGAAAAGAAACUAACAAGGAUUCCCCUAGUAACUGCGAGUGAAGCGGGAAAAGCUCAAAUUUGAAAUCUGGCAGUCUUUGGCUGUCCGAG